UCGUCGUGCCUUGCUCUAUAUCUAUGCUAGGAUGAUGGAUGUUGUGGCUAAUCAACUGGAAGCCUACACCGUAUUUUCCAGAUGCAGCAACCCAAGAGGUGAGGGUAAUUUGGGUUUCUACAAACUUGACAUGAAACUUGUGUCUAAACAUAAAUUUUAAAAGUGUUUGUAUAGUGUCAAUGAUGAAAUUAAUAAACAACAGUAAAAUAAAAGUAAAGGCAAACACACAAUCAAAAAUAUAAAUAAUUUAUAGUGGUUUGAUGGUAAACUCAGUACCUACGUUCAUUCUCUAAGUAAACCCCAGUUAAAAAUUUUAACUAUAAUUUUUUAAAAUUACAGUCCGAUUAUUUUUUCUCAGUUUUACAAUCCAACUUAGUUGACUUUUUCUGGCUCACCAACCACAACCUUUAUAAUAGCUGGUUUUCUCAAGCUCUAAUAGUAAGAACCUUUACAACAUCCAAUAUAUGGCUUGGACCAAUCCUUAAAGUAUCCAAAUUUCUUUCCAAAAGAAAUUUAUCAUAACUGAAUAGAAAUGGUAUAUAAAAAUUUAAAGCACCAAAAAAUAAAAUCUUUAAGCUCUUGAAGAAGCCAGGGUGGUAGAACUCUUCAACACUUGGACUUCUUCUUUGAAUGUUAGGAGAGGAUUGAAUGAAAGCUUGAACAUUUUGCUCAAAUGGUUGUUGGCUCUGUUGAAUGCUAGCUCUAGUUCUCUCAUUUGAAUAUAAAAAGUUAAUAAUUGAAAGCUCUUUGGAUGCCUUCCUCUUUCUCUUUUUGUAUUUCUCUCUUUCUUUUUGAAUAGCUCUCUUUUGGCAUUUCUCUCCUUUUUUUGGAGAGAUGUGUCCCAAUUUGAGUUCUCCAUAUUUAUGGCCUCUAAAAUGGCUUAAAUUAAUGCUCUAAUCAUUGGAGGCUUAGAAAUACCUAUUAGAUGCAAAAUGUGGCUACUUAAUAUAGUUUGAAAAACUAGCUAUUAUGCUGUCAGAAUUCUGUAAGUUGUCUCAUCCAAAAUCUUGAUCGGCUAAGAUAAAGUAUUGAAUUGGCUAGUGAAACUUUGGAUCCACUCAAGAAUAUAUGCUCAUUUUCUAUUUUCUAUAUUUUUUUAUCUAUUUGAGAUUAGAUUGACUCAGAUAUCUUCUUAGUCAGCUAACUCCAUGACUUAGCAGUUCACUUAGUUUUCUAGAUCGACUUAGAGGAUGCUUGAUUUUAUAUUACUUUCUAUCUUUUUUUUAGCUCUAAGAUUGAGUUCACUAAUCAAUUGCUUGAGUCGGCUAACUUUCUAUCU
rnacentral:lncRNA from 1 species